UGGUAGUUCGUUGGUUGGAUGUCUACUUUU
rnacentral:piRNA from 1 species